GGUUUUUCAGUUAUGGUGCUAAAUAUCUAAUGCAUUUUCAUUUAUUUUUUAUUGCAAGGUUUUAACAAUAAUGGCAAUUUGCUACUGUGGAUAUUUAUGUUAAAGACCUCAAGAUUAUAUUUAUUAAUUCAGUUAAACAACAUGAUGAAAACUACAUGGUUGCUUCAGUGGAUGUUGAUCUUUUUCAUAUCAAGAUUAAACCGAUAUCAUUGGAUGUGGUUUCCUUUGCGUACUAAAGAAUCGACUCUUUCUAUCUAUGGAUGUCACAGUUUUGUUUGCUUCAAAACUUUUAAAAUAGUUUUAGUUUUUGCGGUUUGUUGGAAUUUAUAUAUAAUUAGAUAUAUGGGGCUAUGGAAGGGAAAAGGAAGGGGAGCAGUGGUGGACAUCCCCCCACCCACCCCACCCAUUUGUUUAGUUGGAUAUUUUUUUAGUAGGUUUUUAGUUAAACUAUAUGAUGUAAUUGACACGGCUUUUAAAGUGGGGAGGGGGGCCAACUCCCUAAUUUAAAAAUUCUAAACAAAAGGUCCUCGAAGCAAUUAGUUGGGGAGGAGGCAUAGCCCCCUAUGGUGUCGACGGCCAUGAAAGAGGGAGGUGAGACCCCUUCCGUGAAUGAAUUUUUUGUUUAUUUAGUUGGCAAAA
rnacentral:lncRNA from 1 species